rnacentral:lncRNA from 1 species
AAGCAUCAGAAUUUAUUCUGUUCAAAAUGAUCCAAAAAAUAGAGAUUGGGGCGAGAGAGGAAUUUUUCUCGGUAGCCUGAAUUCUGCCCAUACCCAAAGCUCAUCCUCAAUAGACUAGCUUGUCGUGCAACCACAAUUUGAGUAGAUUGAGAGAUGAGUCCCAAAGCCUUCAAGAUUCUUAACACUAAAGCAAAAGAUAG